AUGGUCAUCAGUGCCAUGUUGAUGGGGGCUAUUGCAGGGUCAUUGAUUGGAGGGUUUUUGAUUGACAAGUAUGGCCGGCGAUUGACCAUCAUUGUCAAUACAGUUGUGUUUCUGCUGGGAGCCGUUGUCUUGGGAUUGUCACCUAACUACCCCUCACUGAUUGUUGGGCGUCUGCUCCUAGGAUUUGCUGUUUCGCUGUCCGCGACAGGCGAAUGUAUUUACAUCUCUGAGAUAGCACCUCAUAAAAAGCGAGGUCAGCUGGUGUCACUGAACGAGCUUGGGAUAACUUUGGGACUACUGUUGGCCUACCUCGUCAACUACUUAUUUAUCAAUGUCACUGAGGGAUGGCGAUACAUGUUUGGUCUGUCAGCCAUACCUGCAGCAAUACAGGGGGUGGGGAUGUUUUUCCUACCUAAAAGUCCUCGAUUCCUGGCCCUAACAGGCAAAGAUGCGGAGGCAGAAGAAGUUUUGUUGAAGUUGAGAGAUGGGAGAAAGAUGCAGGUACACCGGGAACUGGAGAAGAUAAAAUCAUCGUUAAGCAAUGAAAAGGAACACUCUGGCCUGGGCCUGCUGAGUUCCAGUGACAACAUGAGAGGCAGGAUGUUCAUCGGAGCUGGACUGGUAUUCUUUCAGCAGUGCACUGGCCAGCCCAAUGUGUUGUACUAUGCUCCAACAAUAUUUGAGGGAAUUGGAUUUGAGUCGGAUUCAGCAGCCACAUUAGCUACAGUUGGACUGGGCUGUGUCAAGGUUGUGAUGACUGUGAUAACUCUGUGCUGUGUGGACAAGUGGGGGCGGCGGCGGUUCCUGCUGACUGGAGCCACGCUGAUGGGCGUGUCCCUAUUACUCCUUGGCAUCAUUUCUCAUCUCAACGACCACGUGUACGGUUCUAAUCCCUGCCAGGAAAGUGUUCAGUGUACUCAGGCAGCAACAGACUUAACCAAUAAUUUCACAAUACCUUAUUCUACAACGCCACAAGUGUUCAUUGCCAACGAGUCUUAUACAUUGUCAGAGGCGGAGUGGCUGUCAUAUUAUAUGGACAAUUACACUGCUGCCCCACCAGAGGAGCCACAUGUACACAUUCAUGGCUCCACCCUGGGGAAGAUAGCAGCCUUUACAUCUUUGAUGCUUUAUGUGGCUGCUUUUGGAUUCAGUUUUGGUCCAGUCUCCUGGUUGAUUCUAAGCGAAAUUUUUCCCGCCUCUGUCAGAGGGAGGGCCAUCUCUCUUGCCACAGUCCUCAACUGGGGAACCAAUCUUGUUGUAUCACUCACAUUUCUAAAUAUCAUUGAAAACAUUGGGGUCUCAUGGACGUUUGUCAUGUUUAGCAUCGUUUGUGCUGUGUCUGUGAUUUUCAUAUUUUUUGUUGUCCCUGAAACCCGGGGAAAGUCCCUAGAACAAAUCUCCAAAGAGCUUAACAACAGAUCCCUGAAGUCUGGAAUUCGUGCAUAUUGUAAAUGGCUUCACUGCUGCAAUCCACUGACUGGUUCACCUAUAAAGCUGCCAAAUUACCAUCGCGUUCAGAGUACCGACUCCUUCAAUGAAAUCUCUUAAUUAUUUAAAAACUCCUUGGUAUUUAUUGAUGCCCAAAUUUACAACUUUGUCAUGUCAAAGUUAAUUAUGUAUUUAUUUGUAUACAUGUAAUAUUUUUUUUUUUUACUUUUUGUUGUUGUUGAGAUUAUUACUCCUUUAACCAUGACUGAUAUGACAUUAGCUACAAUUCAUGUAUCUUAAUAUAUGUUCAUAUUUAAUUAAUUGAACUCAAACACUGCUUAUUUAUUGUAUUUAUAUAUUUUAAGCAUAUCAAAAUGUGUGUACUUGUACUUAAUUUGAUGACACAACUUUGUGAUAUUUCUCUUUUUUUUUUUUUUAUACAUUGGCAAAAGUUUUUUUCUUAGUUCUGGUUUGUAGUUUAUAUUUACUGUACAAAAGCAGAGCAUAUUUUGAGAUAUUGUGAUAAUUUUACUUAUGCCUUUGACUAUUUCAACUAUGAUAUAAGUCUCUUUAAUUUCACUAAGAUUGUUUAUACUUAGCGUUAUACUGUAUAUCCGGUAAUUUUUGCAAGGAUCUAAUUUUCGCUUUUUUCGUGAUAUCUUUUAAAUAGCAAUUUUUUGAAUAUGCAGAAAUUAUAUUCUGUUUCAUAUACCGGUAUUUUCUAUAAGAAACUUUUUAAAUCGCAAAAAAUGACUGGCGCAAAUUAAAAAUUUUACACAUUUUCCCCAUUUCGCAAAUUUUGUGACACGCGAAAAAAAACCGGAUAUACAGUAUUAUGGCAUAAUAUGUAUAAUACUGUAUUUAGACUGUUUAAGAAAUUAUAUACACUCUACAUGUAAAAAAAAUGAAGACUUCCCUCAGUAGCCUGUGAUCUUAUUGAGAGCUGUGUUUUUUCACUACUGUAUUAGCAAUAGUGCUCUAGCUCUAGUAUAGAAUAUCCAUAUCAUUGAGAUUAUUGUAUUCCAAGAAUACUUAUUGUUGUUGUUUAAUGAUUCAUUACUUGACUGUCUCAUGUAGAAAUCACAUUAAAGGGGAGCACGUCUUGCAAAGACAGGGCUGUAGCAGUAAUAU
rnacentral:misc_RNA from 1 species